UGUGAACAGUCCUGGGCCUCUCCUGGACAGUAAAACCAAGCAAUAAACAGCUGUGUGUUUUGUGACUAGAUGGGACUGAAGUUUCCUUUGAAGAUGUGAUCCUGCUGACCUUAUUAAAAAUACAAUGCAAGGAGCUACCUUGGAGCAGGUUGAUGGGGAAGAAGGACAAGCUAUACUUUUCCCUUUGCUGCUUCCUUUGAAAGGGGAAAUGCAUGCUUCUGUACAUGGAGUCAUCAUGAGGAGGCUUCGAUGAGAAUAUUGUUCACUGUAAGCACAAAUAAAAACCAACAUCCUCUGA